CCACAGUGGACAGCCCCAUGGAGGGGGGUGAUAGCACACCAUGGCCUCCCCACAUCCCAGUGCUGCUCCACCUUCCCUCUGGGCUCUCACAGGGUCCUCUGUGGGGCCAGGGAUGUGGGAAGGGAAAGGGCUGCAGGAAAUGGCCACAGAAAUUAACUGCAUGUUAAGAUUGUUGGUAGAUCAGUGGGGAUCUGAUUGGCACCCAGGUGAGCUGGGGGCAGCCCUGCAUUGUUGAGGAGCCCUGGUCCAAGGACUGGCAAAACCCUGGAAAGAUUCCAGUAGCUCCUAUGCAGGGUGGGUAUUUCUCAGCUGGGACAACUUGCUCAGUGUGGCUGUAGCCAAGAGAGUGGAUGGAAAAUGAGAUGUCCCAGCCUGUGCCUUGCCCCAGGGCCAGUGGUCAGGGAGCUGUGAUCACUAUUUGCAGGGGACUGCAAAUCGUGAAGAUGGGCUGGAGAUGGUACCAGAUGGUGCAGCCUGCUCCCAGAGCACCAGCUGUCGUGCAAGGUCAUGUCUGUAGUGUGAUGUCCUCAUGAUGUCAUAACGCAAGCUGGCAGCUAUUUUAGUGGCAGAGAGUUACACUUAAACCUUCCACUUCCCAUUGCAAGGGGCAAGAUGUGUUUUGCUGGUUUUCCUGCCCCAGGUAGCCCCUGCUCCUGCACCCUUGCUGAGACAGGAAAGCAAUCCCGAAAGCAGAGCUGCAAGUGGGGAGAGAGCAGAUGACAUCUUUAAACUGUGAUCAUUGAAGAAUAUUAACUGCUCUUGGGUUUUCUGACUGCCAAAAAUUGAUGCUUGAGCAAUGUGGCGCCAGGAAUCCUGAAGUCACUUUUGUAGCCUUGGAAAAUGCAGCUGCUUUGGGAUUUCAGCCCAAGACGGCUGUUAUUAUCCACUGUGCAGAAUGAAGCUUCUGUUGGGAGCUUUUACAAAGGCCAUCAGUCUUCCCAAAUAGUGGUUGUUUUUAUCACCUGGCAGUAAUGAUACUCUCUGGUCCCUUUAAUAUCUGAGUGUGUUCCCAAAGUGAGACCAGGAAACUCAUUUAGGGCUCACCCCCUCCAAGGGAAACAGCUUACAAUUUUCUGCCAGGUAGCCCUACCGGUGUGAGAAUGGGCAAGACUCACCUAAUAAAAACCUUGCUGACAGACACGACCUCCUGGAGGUUUAUCUGAGUCGUUUGUUGUGAAGCAGAGCAACAUAUAUCAGGGCUGAAAUAGGUGCCAAGCAGCAAUCCUAAUGCACGCCGUGGCUGCUGUAAUUGAUUCGCAGGCAGGACAAAUACCCGGUGGAGAGAGCAAGGGGCCCUGCCUACUCUCCCAGCUAAAAUGUUAUAACGCUGUGUGAAAUCGUAUUGCUGAAGCCUGUGGCUAAAAUCCAUCUUGUGGGCUGGCUGGCUGUAAAGCUGCAUCAUCCAAAAUAUCCCCGUCCCUGCACGCACUGGCUGGGGCACUUGGGCUCCAGUUCAGAAGGAAACAUAUUAAAAAAUGGAUCAAAAGUUAUGACUCUUGCCAAUAAUGUGUGUGCAGCAUUGCGUGUGCAUUGACUUCCAUUUUUUGCCUAUGCUGUUUUUUAUUGUUCCUCCAGGUAAAUGUUGAAUGAGGAAAGGCUUAAAACUUGAGGAAGCCACAUAAAACCACAGGGAGUUGUGAAUUUUAGAGAUGGCUAAAGUUGAUGGGGAUGGCUUGGUGUGGCAGCGUGGUGGUGGCUCUAGGAACAUCCCAAAUUCCUUACACUAGGAAGCAGCCUUAAAUUUUGUUGAUUGUCUGGCAUCUACUACAUACAUUUGAGGCCAGCUGUGGUCAUGCCUUCCCAUUGCUCAGCUGGGGAACUUGGUGGGAGGUGUCCCCAGAGGGGUGUGAAGUGUCACUGGACACCCCUAAGCAGUCUCCCCAAAAAUAAUGGCUGGCUGGGGGAGCAGGCAGCAGAGACAAGCUGCCAUCUCCUGCGAGCUGCUUAAUUUCAUCAGCUGCACAGGGCUGCUUCACCACACAUCCCCCCAGCAUGGGAUCAGGCAGAAUUAGAGAUUUGAUCCUUGGGAAGGGCUGGGGAAAUGUCUUGCAGUGUGAAACUGGAGGAGCUCAGCUUGUUUAGCUUAUUAAAAAGAAGAUUAAGAGGUGACUUAAUUGUGCUGUGUGAGGUACCUUCAUGGGGAGAGAGAGGCAGGUAUUAAAAGGCUGUUUAAUCUAGAGGAGAAAGGCAUCGCAAGAGCCCGCGCCUGGAAGCUGAAGCCAGACAAAUUCAAAUUGUGAAUCAAACAGACCUUUUAAAAAGCGAAUCUUAAUAAAGAUUAAACCUCCCAGGAGAGCUGUACGUUCCUUUGCCUUUGAUAUAUUUGGAUGCAGACAGGACACGUUUCUGCCCCAUACACUUGAGCCAAGCAGAAGUUACCGGGUUUGGUAUGGAGUAAUUAAAUGCCAGACCCAGCCCUGCAUCAGGGAAGGUCAGGUGAGAUGAUCUAAUGGUCUCUGCUGGCCAUCAGUGCUCCCAUGCCUGGAGGCUGUGAUUUGUGUGCUUGUGUCCAGGCAGCUGGCAGGGACACGGCUCUACCAGGAAAAAUCAGUGGAGAAACACGAGGAACGUGGCACUGUGUCAGAAGGGACAGGAAGACAAGUGAAGACUGAUGUGUAGGUGCAGAGUUAGAAUACUAGAAAGGAAAGGCUUUUAGCCAGAAAAAGGCUUUUUAUGAAAAAAACAUAUUCUUUCUGGACAUUAGCAGACAUGUAAAUUUUUUGUGCUUAGCUACCCCUAAUUUUCCUCACAAUUCAUUAAAAAUAAAACCAACCCUCAAGUUUUAUGUUGACCAAGAAAUCAAAGCAUUGAUAUGAAAGCCUCAUGUAGGGAAAGACAAAGGCAAGUCAUAUCCCAAUUUUAUGUAAGUACCUGAAACAAUGUACAGUGAAACAAUAUCUGAAAACCUGAGAGUCCCAGGAGUGGCUCAGGAACCACUGCUCACUUGGCAAUGCUGGAGUAUGUUGUGAAUUAAUUUUUCUCUUUAUUUUUGAGACACUUCUCAGGGCUGGCAGUUGGAUAUGGAUGCAGAGAGGAGCGGCUGUGGGGUAUCCCUCAUUAUUUUUAAUAAUACUGGGAUUCAGAAGAGCUUAUCUCCUACUCUGCCCUGAGUCCCUGUCCUGGCCCUGGGGAUGACCUGCCCAGAACAGGAUUCUGAGAUGCAGCACAGAAGUGUGGAGGGAUGUACUGGGUCUCAGCUGCUCCCAGGCUGAGUGAUGGGCUCCUGCAGCAAAGAAUGGAGCCCAAGAGAGGAUCUUGCUGAGAAGUUGUUGUUCAAGGUGCUUUUCAUAAUAUUUAAAAAAUGUGUUUGCUUCCUCUUGCAAAUGUUCAAACAUCUUUAAAGUGUCUGUGGUGCCAAGCUGCUUCUCGCCCUGUUUUAAGAGAAAUAAGCUUUCUUUAAAGAAAAGGAGCCACAAAAAGCGCAGCAAGCCCAAAGUUAACAGCGAGCAGACCGAAACAAAAUUAACACCAGCAAGAUUUCAGCUGCCCCUCCGAAAUAUUGUGUCUCACGGCAAAGGGUCUGCGAAAAGAUGGGAGAACAGAUUGCUUUAGCGCAUCUUCAUGGUGUCUCUGCGGCACAGAUGAAGCUCAGGCUGGGUCCCCUUCCCCUUGCCAAGCCUGCAGUGGGGACUCGCAGCCCCCAAAAGUGGACAUUUGGAGGCGCAGGCUCCUCAGUGCCAUGACCACUCAUGGGUCCAGCACCACAAGGGGAUGUGACUCGGGACGCUGUAGCCAGAGAGUUUAGAGAAGCAUCACCUGCAAAACCAGAGUGUGAGCCCAAAAAAGAAGCAGUGAAGAGGAGGCAAGGGACAGGGAAGGAGAGCCUGGCCCUUCUCCACUGCCAUAAAUUGGAGGCGAGAAUGGGAGCGUUGGUUGUUGGCCAUGGUGUCACAGCUCCGUGUGGAUUACAUUGGCCAGCUUCAGUGAUGAAAAUAGGCAGCCAGCAGUGAGUUCCUCUUUGUAACAGAAAAUAGUCAAAACAGCUUGAAAACUAUUCAUAAUGAGAGCUCUGAGAACAGCCAAUGCUACACACACAGAGUGAAUACUGUCAUUAAGCACUCUUUGGAUGACAGUCCCAGCAGUUCAUUAUCCCCCAUCACUGCUUGGGGAGGGUGGUGGAGGAGAGAAGAGAGAGGGAUAUUAGGCAGUGUCUCCAGCAGAUGUGAGCUCCAGCCUCGCCACCCAUUCACCAUGAAAGAUGCAGCAGCUGCUGGAAGCCUCCUUCUCCAUGUCAGGAUACUCCCCUGCAGGUUGUGACUUUGUGUGGAUGCAGGGAUGGAUGUGACACUGUGCUGAGGAUUUCAUGGCCGAGUGCAGGAUUAUUGCUGCGGUGUAAAAGGCUCCCCAGCCUUGGGCUCUACUGAGCAGCCACAGUGUGGCUGAAAGGACACAGCAG